rnacentral:misc_RNA from 1 species
CAGUGGGGGAAGGACCCACCCAAGGAAGUUGUUGGUUGAACUUGGUAGCUUGCGAGCGUCCGAGCCGGGAAACCGGCCAGGGCGAAGCCU